GACGGAGGGUGCAAGCGUUGUUCGGAUUUACUGGGCGUAAAGGGCGUGUAGGCGGUCGGCCAAGUCUGAUGUGAAAGCCCGAGGCUCAGCCUCGGAAGUGCGUCGGAAACUAGUCGGCUGGAGCGCGAUAGAGGAGGGUGGAAUUCCUGGUGUAGCGGUGAAAUGCGUAGAUAUCAGGAGGAACACCGGCGGCGAAGGCGGCCCUCUGGAUCGUUGCUGACGCUGAUACGCGAAAGCGUGGGGAGCAAACAGG
rnacentral:rRNA from 1 species